UUUUCUUUCACUAAGGCUUUAACAAUAUUCUUCAACAAUGUCUCAUGCUUCUUCUUCCAAAAUUUGCAAGUAUGAUAUUUUUUUGAGUUUUAGAGGUGAAGAUACGCGUAGAACCUUUGUGAGUCAUCUCUAUAAGGCUCUGGAACAAAGAGGAAUCCACACUUUUAAAGACGAUGAGUGGUUGGAAGCAGGAAAAUCAAUUUCUGCUGAACUUUUAAAAGCCAUAGAAGAUGCCAGAUUCGCUGUCGUGAUAUUUUCAAAAAGCUAUGCAUCCUCAAGAUGGUGCUUAGAGGAGCUUGCACAUAUCAUAAAGUGUAAAAAGGAAUUGGAGCAGAUUGUGAUUCCAGUCUUCUAUGAUGUGAGCCCAUCAGAUGUACGCCAUCAAAAUCCCCCAUUCGCUGAUUCAUUUUCCCAACAC
rnacentral:lncRNA from 1 species